GGUGAGUGGAACAGGUACACCUUCAUCUCGACAGUAAGUAUAUAGUGGCUAUACACGGAGGACGUGGACAAACCAUUCUUCAGCUGCACAGCAAGUAUUCUACUGUCAAGUAUCCAUCUAAAAAAUUCCCUGCAAGAUGAAUUUGAUUUCGAUCGUUUCCCUGAUGGUUGUUGCUGCGUUGAUGAAUUCUGUCGAUGCCCAGUGGAACGACGGCGCCGGUGGCGUCAAAUGGCAGAAAAACUGCGACUACGUCGGCGGAGACAUUGGCAACGUGCGAGUGGACGGACCGCACUGCGGAAUGACUUGCUUGAAUCGCUACGGAUGCAAUCAUUUCACUUACAAAGACGGGGUGUGUUACCUGAAAACCCUCAAACUACCCUCUCGUCAAAUCGAGUGUAGCGCAUGCGAUGUCUGCGGAUUCCAUCCAGACAGAAACUAUUUGGCUGGCUGGCAAUAACUGUCAAACCAGUAAACCUAUUGUGGUUUGCCAGUUACAGUUUUUCAUAUCAUCAUGCUGAUGUAUAGACGAAAUGAUUUAUCAAAUACAACAUAUUAUUACACGCGCUAUUUCAGUUUCCCGCGAUUAGAUUGGCAUUGGUGUACUUGACGCCCCCUAUUGUUUCUGUCGUCACUCUGCCUCCGUGCAUGGCAUACUGUGCAAAGUUUCGACCGGGAUUUCCCCAUUCCAUUUACAUGUAUCCUUGUCUGUAAUAACACAGACGCGUGGGAGUUUCAGGUUAACGUCCCACGAACGCGGGAAUGUUGACUCUCCAAUGCAGUUAUUUUCUACUUUCUAUUUGGAUUUCUUUUUAAAGUUGGCGAUGAUAUGGGUAGAGUAAUAGAAUAAUUAUUCUACAACUAAAACAUUUCAACGUUAAUUAUUUUUGUUUUUGUAAAAUAUUUUUAAAAAGUCAAUUGGUAUUCGUAAUGUUUCAAUCAAUCAGGCAAUGAUGUUUACUGUGUUUUGUUCAAUUUCAUUUUCGUCUGCUUAUUUUCAUUUCAAAUUUAAUUUAUCAAGAGCUUCACGAGGUGUAGUCGUUCUAAGGUCACUCUCUCAUAUUCGUUUAGAGAAUUAAAAUAUGCUGAGUCAAUUUAAAGAACUUGUUAGAGUUGUUUGAUUGUCUUAUUCCAAAUCCAAUGUCACCCAUUGGCACCUAGUCAUCAAAGGCAUUUUGAAUUACCGUCAUCUCUUUCCAGUCUGCCCCUCUCAACUCUCAAUCUGCUUAAUUCUUUGAUAUUUCAGCAAAGUAGUGCCAGCCCAGAAAGCCCUGGAUAAAGAUGAGUGAAUAUCAGACUAUAGGGAAUUGCUGUCGGUGAUAGACAUCGAACGACUGUGCGCAGUGCCAAAACAUCCGGUUCCGCAAUCAUCACAGACGGUGUGCACAAGAAUUUCCCAUGCGGUCACUUUAUUGCAUCUUGAUUCAAGAAUCGACUCGUAUCAUCGUUGACCUCCAACACAUGAACAGUACAGUACACUUGUAAUCCUAUUGGUGCUAAUAUUUAGGCUUACAGGCAGUCUCUGUGGAUUGGAGAAAUGGCGGUAGAAUAAUCGGCUGGUGCUGAUGUUGAUAUGCUUUACAUAAUCACUCGUCUAACUGGGGAAAAUUUUAAAGACAGAAUAAAUUAUCCUGAUUGAGGGGUCCACCACUGCUCAUACUCAUCAAACUCAGCCAAUCAACGACCACCAGAGAUCAGUCUCUGGUCUGUCCAACAUGUUUGUUUAUUGGUGAUAGAGUAAUGCGAAGUUUCACCUGAACCCAAUUAUCUCUUAUUUUUAUUUUACGUCUUAAUUAAUGACCCAGGUUUCAAAACUGAGAUGUCGUCGAUCAGCCAGCUCUUAUUGGUUUUGGCCUUUGGGCAUCCAACCAUCCAACAUGUUCCCGGGAUCGUGUAAUUAGGGACUAAACAAGAGUAAUCACCAUCCCAUUCUUCCUCUGUCUGUGGCGGCUGCAACAGUUGAACUAGAAACUUGGAAAAAUACUAGAAACAACCCAAUUAGAUAAUACCACACUCGCCCACACUCCAUCAAUGUGAAUUCAAUUUCUGUUGCAUUGACGGUUGCUGCGUUGCUGUUUGUCACGACCGAUUGUGCCCGGAAGGAUUGGAAUACUGGCGACGGAGGUGUCAAAUAGUUGCUCAACUGCGACUUUCCUAGCUCGGGACAUAAUCCAAGAAAGGACAACCGUUCCUGUCUCUUCCGAGGACAUAUUAUUCUGUUUAGUUUUCUGUCGACAUGUGAUCAUUAACUAAACCCGGUUAAUGGCGAGGUCAUGGAGCGAGCCACAGCUUGCG